UGUUUACCUUCAAUAAAAAGAAAAAUUAAUGGAAUUAAUAAUAUAUGGUACCUAGCCAUCACAUACAAUUAAAAUACUCAUAUGUUGAAAUAUCUUCAAAUAUUUGUUGCUGGGUACUUGAGCUUAAAGCUGUCACAGCAGAAAUACCUGAGAGCUCUUCUGAAUUUCAUUUGGACAGUGGCAAUCCAUAAGAAGAGAGUCAAGGAUGUGAUCCCUUCAGGCAGUACCAUCAAAAGCAGCAAGUGAGGACUAUCUUGCCCAAAAUAAUGUAGGAAAAACAGCAGUUUUCCCAUACUGAUGAUGCACACAAGACUCCACAAAAACACGUUUUUAACAUAAUUUUUCUUUUUAAAAAAUGUCUCUGAAUAUUAAAAAUGCUCACUUUCUCAAAAUAUUAAGGAUGAACUCCAAAUAGAAAGGAAGAUGUUUUCAGAAUUUUUUUAAAACUUUGAGCUUAAAAAAGCUCGACAUUACUAAUAUUUCUUUGUACCUCUACUAACAUCACAAAAGAUUUCAAAAUCCACAAUUUUUUUACAUUGGUUUGUGUACAUUUUCAAAGGCAGAAAUAGUAUCUCUUUGUUUACAAAACAAGCCACAAGUCUUCAUCAUGUAUAGGAACAAAAGCAUUCCAACACCAUUUCAGUUCAUGUACAUUUGUCUUUUGAACCAAUGUAUAAAACUUUAUGCAAACCCUCCCCCUCC